GUUGACCUCGGAUCAGGUAGGGAUACCCGCUGAACUUAAGCAUAUCAAUAAGCGGAGGAAAAGAAACCAACAGGGAUUGCCCUAGUAACGGCGAGU
rnacentral:rRNA from 1 species